GCCUCCUUGGCUCAGUUGGUUAGAGCGCAGGUCUCAUAAUCCUGAGGUCGCAAGUUCGAACCUUGCAGGGGGCA
rnacentral:tRNA from 1 species